UGCGGCAAACAAGCUCUCAAUUUACCACCGUUCCAAGUCCAAACUCUACGCCCCUGUAAUUACUCAAAUCAGCAGCUAGGGGUUUUGUUGUUGUUGUUGUUGGUUAUUGCUCAGAAAUCUUUGACACUCGCCCCAAAUUGUAACUCUGAACAAUAUCUUAUUUUCUCCACUUGAACCCCAGUUUAUAGGCCAGUUGGAAAAAGAAUUAGAAGAAGCCAACAGAAGAGUGGCCCAUGUGCAUGGACAGGGCUGGAGUGAUUCUUGCUUCAACAGCAGUCCCUUCAACCUUGCUUGAAUGGUGGCUGCGUAGAUCACAAGCUCCGCAGACUACAAGAUAUCUUUGCUCAGAGGGAACCACAAGGUCACUGACAGCUAAACUCGACAUUGUUCCCCCGCAUAUCAAAGCUAAGCAGAGUUGUAAAUUGUUUCAACUUAUGAAUAGAACUCCACUGAACCACACCAUAGCUAUAGAGUUGACCUGCAGUUUUACCCUGCUAAGGGAGUUAUUUUGUAGUGACAAAACUUUUCUUCUGGUGGCCUGACACAUCAUAGGACUUGGAGGUUGGAAAUUCUUCCUUCCCAUCAAAUGUUGGUUCUAAAUCCACAGAACUGUUUGAGAAUCCAGACACAAAAUUAUGAUACUAUUGAUGAUUUGAUUUGAAAAGAUGAAAGAGAUUGACAGCACAAAAAUUUUAAAUAUAAUCUUUAAAGGAAGAUACACACAAGGAAAAGGCAACUGCCCUAGACACUGGCAUGUCCAAAUGUCAUGACUAGACCUGCUGCAGCCAUCUUGCAACCAGAGAGGAGGCAACUUAAAAACAAAGCCAACACAAUGAAAUGACUCAGAAGAAAGUGGAAAGACCUGAGUACUUGUUGAUGCUAUUGAGCUGAUGAAUUAAACCUGGAGUAUACCAACUAUGGGCUUCUUUUCAUCUAGAUUCUAAGAAAUCAAUAAAAAUAUAUAUUAAAGACAAACAAAUAAAAACCUUCCAAACAAAGGAAGUGCCCUCUCUUCUCUCCUGCGUGCUGGGUUCCUGGCUCUCCUAUGACGGGAAUACAUUCCCCAGUGCCCACGUUGGACUCUACACUGGACUAAUAGACUUGAAUUAGCUUGGAUGCUGAACUACACCUGGCUGGAACAUGGAAUGGAAGCCCUGGACACUGGGCCCUGUUUUUGGCUCUGCUGAACACCCAGCUGCCCCUCUUUCAGGACCGGCUUAGGGGAAAUGGGACAUUGGAAACUAAAAAGUAUAACUCCACAUCAAUAAAAUUUUCGACCACC